UUUGUUAUGAUCACUUCUGUUUUACAGAUAAAGAAGCUGAGACUCAGAGUGGUUAUAGCACGCUUCCCAGGGUCACAGAGUCACAAACUCUGAAAGUUUGGCUCCUGUCUUCAAUUGGAAGAAGAAAUUAGAAGAGGAAUUAUAUACAUUACUUGGCUACAGAAGAAAAAAAAAAUAAACCAGAGAGAAUGUUCUAGAAGAGCACAACUGAAUUCCAUCUCAAAAACAAUAUUGCUUUACAAUAUCUCAAAGGAAUUUUGCUGAGUUUUCUAUUAGUAGAAGCUUUCAGUCAGGCGUAUUUUUGAGGGAUUUGCUGCAUUGGAGCAGCGUAAGCUAAUAUGAUCUACGUGUUUCUUUGUGUUUCCUUGAGCUCAUCAGUGUCAGCAUGGCCCCAUAUUGGUGGAGUGGAAUGUGAGCAUUUAUCCCCCUGGAACCUUGAGAGAGAAGUUUGAGGUGCAGAGAAGCUGAA
rnacentral:lncRNA from 1 species